GCCACUGAGGCACUUUUAGUUUACUGAAAUUCAAGUACAUGUGUUUGCAUUGUUAUGUUGAAAUUCAUGAACUAGGAUGGUCUGAAGC